rnacentral:rRNA from 1 species
UACGGAGGGCGCAAGCGUUAUCCGGAAUCACUGGGUUUAAAGGGUGCGUAGGCGGCUUAGUAAGUCAGGAGUGAAAGCCUGCGGCUUAACCAUAGAAUUGCUUUUGAUACUGCUGAGCUUGAAUUAGGUUGAGGUUGGCGGAAUGUGACAUGUAGCGGUGAAAUGCAUAGAUAUGUCAUAGAACACCAAUUGCGAAGGCAGCUGACUAGACCUUAAUUGACGCUGAGGCACGAAAGCGCGGGGAGCGAACAGG